AAAUGCAAAACCAAAACCCUACUUGAACCCUUGGUCUUCCCUCCCCAGCUAUACUCUCAUUUCCAAAAGAAACAGAGGAAGCUGCAGCCUGAACAAUGCAAUUCCUCUUCCGCUCCCUCCCUAAACCCCGGCACCAACGUCACUGCCGCAGCCUCGUCGACUUUGCGGCCAUCAAGCACGUCAGAGACAGGGGCUUAGACCAUGCCGUUGAGCGAGAAAAGCACUUAAAGCCAGUGCUUUCAAUCAAGAACUUAAUAAAAUCAGAGCCAUCAAAAUCACUCCCUAUCUCCACAAUCACUCAACAAAAAGACUUCCUCAAAAUACCGAUACGGCCAAUAGAGUUAAUUAGAAGAUACCCUUCAGUCUUUGAAGAAUUUCUGCCUGGUGGCAUUGGAAUCCAUCCUCAUGUCAAGUUAACACAACAGGUACUUGACCUUGAUAUUGAAGAACAGUUAGUUUAUCAAAGUGAGAGUUAUAAGAAUGAUGUUGCUAAUAGGCUUUUAAAGUUGUUAAUGAUUUCAAGAAUUGAUAAAAUUCCAUUAAAGCUUCUUGAUUUUUUAUUAUGGGAUUUGGGUUUGCCUCAAGAUUGUGUCAAGACUUUGGUUCCUGAAUUCCCUGAUUAUUUUAGAGUUCUCGGGGAUAAGAAUUUGUCGCCUUGGUCGGGUUCGGAUUUGGGGUUGGAGUUGGUUUGCUGGAGUAAUGGACUGGCUGUUUCAGUUAUGGAAAAGAAGGCAAAAAGUAGAGAAACUGGUUAUGUUAAAGGGAUGCCUAUAGAGUUUCCAAUGCAGUUUUCGAAGGGUUUUGAAAUGGAUAAGAGGUUGAAGCAGUGGAUUAGUGACUGGCAAAAGUUGCCUUAUGUUUCUCCCUAUGAGAAUGCUAUGCAUCUUGGGCCUAAUACUGAUGAAUCAGAUAGGUGGGUGGUGGGUGUGUUGCAUGAGGUACUUAAUCUUUCUGUUUCGAAGAAAGUGGAGAAGGACACUUUGUUGUGUUUGGGAGAGUGGCUGGGGAUCCGGUCGAGGUUUAAGAGAGCAUUGCUACACCACCCUGGGAUAUUUUAUUUGUCGAAUAAGAUAGGGACUUAUACUGUUGUUUUGAAGGAGGGAUAUAAAAGGGGAUUGUUAGUUGAGAAGAAUCCAGUGGUGGAUAUUAGGAAUCAGUAUAUUCAUCUUAUGCACACGGUUGUCGAAGAACGUAAAUCAAUCACUGUACAUGGAGGAAGCCAACAACAAGAAAAGAAGACUGAUGGCAAAUCUGAAGGGCAAGGAGAAAAACAAGAUGCUGAUGAUUGUGUGGAAGUGACUGAUGCGGGUUCUGAUUUUGAGGAUGAUAGUGAAGAUGGGUACGAGUAUAAUGAGGAGGAGGAAGGUGAGAGUAGAAAAAAUGCUCAUAGAAAUGCCCCAACCAACAGGGGAAGAGCAGACAGGAAUAAGAAUUUGGAUGUGAGGGGGAACUUAAAGUAUGCUAGAAGAGAAAGGGGGGUUGAGAAACACCAUGGUAAGACAAGGGAUAAAGCUGUACAAAAUGACGACUAUAAGUACAAUGAUGAUGAUGAAGAGGAAGGUGAGAGUAGGACACAUGGUCGUACAAAAACUCCUAGCGAAAGAACAGAUGAGAAUAAGAAUUUAUUUGCGAGGGGGCGUUCAAGAAAUGUUAGAAGAGAAAGGCAGGUCGAGAGACACCACGGUAAGACAAGGGAUAAAGUUGUACCAAAAGAUGAUUAUAAGUACAACGAUGAUGAGGAGGAAGGUGAAAUUAGGACACAUGCUCGUACCAAAUCCCCAAGGGGAAGAGCAGAUGAGAAUAAGAAUUUAGAUGUGAGGGGGCGUUCAAGAAAUGUUAGAAGAGAACGGGUGUGCGAGAAACACCACGGUAAAACAAGGGAUAAAGUUGUAUCAAAAGAUGAUUAUAUGUACAAUGAUGAUGGCGGGGAGGAAGGAGAGGGUAAGAGACAUGCUCAUAGAAAUGCCCCACGCAGGAGAGGAAGAGUAGAUAAGAAGAAUAAUUUUGAUUCAAGGGAGGAUGCAAAUGCUGGAAGAGAUAGAGGGAUUGAAAAGCGCCAUUUCAAGACCAAGGAUAAAUUUCGACCGAAAGGUUCUAUCAUAAAAGGAAUGAGUAGAGGGUACAAUUUCCACGAAAGGUCACAAGAGUGAUCAGCUUCGCCUAAGAAAAAGAAGGAAUCGUUGACAGCCAAGAGGACUGCUACUUGAAAGAUUUAAUUAUCUGUCUAAACUAAUAAUCUGCAGGUUUCUUCGAUUCAUCAUUUUCUAUGCAAAAUUUCAAAUUCCUGGUUUCACUGUAAAGAUUAAUGAAGUAUGACAUUUGUUGCCAUUACUUUUGACCAUCAAGUCUGUUUAGAGUCUUCGAGACUUCGGAGAACAAUGGUUCUCUAGUUGCUGACCUGUCAAGAGUGUUGACAGUGGCUGUUAAAUGCUAGAUGCCUGAAGUUACUCAAAAUGAUCUUUCACUUGCCCCCCUGACUAUGCUUCAAUGUUGAGAAAGAGCGCCACUUUUACUUGGACAUCGCAAGUUUAGUCUGGUUGGAAGGCUGAAGCUGCAAAUGCAGUAAGUUGGGUUGGAGAAGUCUUUCUGCUUCUGAUUUCUAGUUUAUGUCAACAAUAUAAGAUCAUUCCUCUGGAAUCAUUAUUUAGCUUCUUUUUGGAGUUCUAUUAACACUUUAUACCUUCGACCUGUGUAUUUUGUUUGGCUUCAAAAAAUCAGUAUAAUUCAAAUGAUCAAUGCGCAUUUCGAGAUUACUUCCUCUCAUCUUCGGCAUGGUAUGCUGUAUUUGUUUCAACAAAAGUUCUGUAACCAGAUGUUCAUUUUCCUCCCAUCUUUGGCAUUUCAUCAUAGUCAAUCCUUUCCCUCCAUUUGUUUGUUGGCUGGCUAUACUGGUUUAGUUCCUGCACUUCCCCUAUGUAUUCCAUAAUCAUUGUUGUAAACAAAA